rnacentral:rRNA from 1 species
CGCCCGCUCAGAAACUCAAAGGAAUUGACGGGGGCCCGCACAAGCGGUGGAGCAUGUGGUUUAAUUCGAUGAUACGCGAGAAACCUUACCAGGGCUUGACAUAUACAGGAAUGUUGUAGAGAUACAGCAGCCGCUUGCGGUCUGUAUACAGGUGCUGCAUGGCUGUCGUCAGCUCGUGCUGUGAAGUGUUGGGUUAAGUCCCGCAACGAGCGCAACCCUUGCCUUUAGUUGCCAGCAGUUCGGCUGGGCACUCUAAAGGGACUGCCGGUGUUAAACCGGAGGAAGGUGGGGAUGACGUCAAGUCCUCAUGGCCUUUAUGACCAGGGCUACACACGUACUACAAUGGCCGAUACAAAGGGCAGCGACACUGCGAGGUGAAGCCAAUCCCGUAAAAUCGGUCUCAGUCCGGAUUGGAGUCUGCAACUCGACUCCAUGAAGUUGGAAUCGCUAGUAAUCGUGGAUCAGCAUGCCACGGUGAAUACGUUCCCGGGCCUU